UUCGGUAUUUACCUCCGGUAUAAAAUUCUGAGUAAUCGGUGUGGUCGCCGAUGCAGAUGCGGAUGAUGGAGUCGCAAUGGGGAUCGCCAUUGGGAUCUCUGAUGAAGCUCCUUCAUCUGUGGAUGGAAUGACGGUUGUCGCCACCGUUAUCGAAGGCGCUACCUCCACCGGGGGCAUUGUCCCUGGAGCAUCGCGUGCUGGGGAAUUACCGGAGGGAGUCGCCAUUGAAGGGAAAGGGGAAGAAG
rnacentral:lncRNA from 1 species